AGGACGAACGCUGGCGGCGUGCUUAACACAUGCAAGUCGAGCGGUAAGGCUCCUUCGGGAGUACACGAGCGGCGAACGGGUGAGUAACACGUGAGCAAUCUGCCCUUCACAUUGGAAUAACUUCCGGAAACGGAAGCUAAUACCGAAUACGACCACCGAAGGCAUCUUCUGGUGGUGGAAAGUUCCGGCGGUGAAGGAUGAGCUCGCGGCCUAUCAGCUUGUUGGUGGGGUAAAGGCCUACCAAGGCGACGACGGGUAGCCGGCCUGAGAGGGUGACCGGCCACACUGGGACUGAGACACGGCCCAGACUCCUACGGGAGGCAGCAGUGGGGAAUAUUGGACAAUGGGCGAAAGCCUGAUCCAGCAACGCCGCGUGAGGGAUGGACGGCCUUCGGGUUGUAAACCUCUUUCAGCAGGGACGAAGCGAAAGUGACGGUACCUGCAGAAGAGCACCGGCCAACUACGUGCCAGCAGCCGC
rnacentral:rRNA from 1 species